rnacentral:rRNA from 1 species
CGCACGAGAAGCUAAGUAGCUUGCUACGAAGCAGACAGUGGCGAAAGGGAGAGUAACGCGUGGAUAUCUGCCCUUGGCUUCAGGAUAGCUACGGGAAACUGUAGGUAAUACUGAAUAAUAUCUCCGGAUCAAAGGUGUGAUUCCGGCCGAGGAUGAGUCCGCGUCCUAUUAGGUUGUUGGUGGGGUAAAGGCCUACCAAGCCAAAGAUGGGUACCGGGUGUGAGAGCAUGGCCCGGCUCACUGGGACUGAGACACUGCCCAGACGUCUACGGACGGCUGCAGUCGAGAAUCUUCCGCAAUGGACGAAAGUCUGACGGAGCGACGCCGCGUGCGGGAUGAAGGCCCUCGGGUUGUAAACCGCUGUCAGUUGGGAGGAAAUGCUAUGAGGUUAUCCUCAUAGUUUGACCGAUCUUCAGAGGAAGUACGGGCUAAGUACGUGCCAGCAGCCGCGGUAAUACGUACCGUACGAACGUUAUUCGGAAUCACUGGGCUUAAAGAGUCCGUAGGCGGUCUGGAAGGUGAGGUGUGAAAUCCCACGGCUUAACCGUGGAACUGCGCUU